rnacentral:lncRNA from 1 species
UCAUUUUUUUUCAGUUUUGAUUAGGAUUGCAAACACCUGAUGUGAUCUGACUGCUAUUCACUGCUUUGAGAACAUCUGAGAAAAUCUAAGCAGACACAGGAUGAAUAAUAAAAACAAAAUGAUCUUAAGGGUUCCAAAGAGUUUUCACCUCUUUGACUUGACAACAAGAAAAGCUGAUGCAGUCUGGAGAGUGCUGCAGUUUCUUCUUACAACACAAUGACAUGAAGACCUGGAAGUGGAAGAGUUAACUGACACAUGGCUUGCCUUUGAAG